GGAAGUGCCAGAGGACUGGAGAAGGACAGAUGUCCCUAUCUUCAAGACGAGGGGCAGGGGAGAAGAUCUUGGGAACUACAGACCAGUCAGCCUGACAUCAGUCCUUGGGAAAAUUCUGGAGCAGACUAUAAAAGCACAGUCACUCUGUUGAACACUUUGAAAACUAGAAGCCAACAGAAAUGCGCAAGAACACAUCCCGCCAGACUAAUCUGCUUUCAUUUUUUGAUUGAGUAACCUCCCUGGUGGACUGUGGGGAUGCUGUGGACAUAAUCUAUCUCUAGCAAAGCUUUUGACCAAGUGGCCCAUGAUAUCCUGGUUAGCAAACAAGCCAAAAGUGGGCUAGAAGCAACAAUUACCAGGUGGAUCCACAGUUGGCUACAGAAUCCGACUCAAAGAGCGGUCAUCAGUAGCGCAUUCUCAAGCUGGGGAGAGGUGAUCAAUAUUGAAAUGAAAUGGCUCAGAGAUCAAUGCAAAAGAGGAUAAUAGAAGAGUGUUCUGCAUGAACAAACAAAGGCAUUUACAAGAACUUUGGGAUGAAGGAAGUGGCAGAGAAGCGGAGAUAAGCAACAACAGAUGCAGAUAAUGGAAUAGGGUUGUUUGCUGUCAGCUCUUGGGGCUCCAAGUUUCCUCUGCUGCUUGGAAGAUGGGGAGCAGGUCCCAUUGUCACCCUGCCGUCCUGGAGACACUCUGAAUAAC